rnacentral:rRNA from 1 species
UACGUAGGGUGCAAGCGUUAAUCGGAAUUACUGGGCGUAAAGCGUGCGCAGGCGGUUUUGUAAGUCUGACGUGAAAUCCCCGGGCUCAACCUGGGAAUUGCGUUGGAGACUGCAAGGCUAGAAUCUGGCAGGAGGGGGUAGAAUUCCACGUGUAGCAGUGAAAUGACGUAGAGAUGUGGAGGAACACCGAUGGCGAAGGGCAGCCCCCUGGGUCAAGAUUGACGCU